GAUGAACGCUGGCGGCGUGCCUAAUACAUGCAAGUCGAGCGAAAAGACGAGGCUUUUGCGCCUCUCACGUUAGCGGCGGGCGGGUGAGUCACACGUGUAUCACCUACCUAUCAGUCUGGGAUAAUUUCGGGAAACCGGCGCUAACAGCAGAGAAGCUCUUGCACCACGUUGGUCAUUAGUGAGAGACGGCUUUGCUGUCAGUUAUCGCUGGAUCCGCGCCGCAUUAGCUAGUUGGUAAGGUAACGGCUUACCAAGGCGACGAUGCGUAGCCGACCUGCGAGGGGGAUCGGCCACACGGGAACUGAGACACGGUCCAGACUACUAAGGUAGGCAGCAGUAGGGAAUGUGCCGCAAUGGGCGAAAGCCUGACGGAGCAACGCCGCGUGAGUGAUGAAGGUCUUCGGAGCGUAAAGCCCUGUUACUAGUGAAGAACAAAUGUGGAAUGAGACAUGCAGGGCGUGACGGUACCUAAUCAGAAAGCCACGGCUAACUACGUG
rnacentral:rRNA from 1 species